rnacentral:rRNA from 1 species
GAUGAACGCUGGCGGCGUGCCUAAUACAUGCAAGUCGAGCGAACGGACGAGAAGCUUGCUUCUCUGAUGUUAGCGGCGGACGGGUGAGUAACACGUGGAUAACCUACCUAUAAGACUGGGAUAACUUCGGGAAACCGGAGCUAAUACCGGAUAAUAUUUUGAACCGCAUGGUUCAAAAGUGAAAGACGGUCUUGCUGUCACUUAUAGAUGGAUCCGCGCUGCAUUAGCUAGUUGGUAAGGUAACGGCUUACCAAGGCAACGAUGCAUAGCCGACCUGAGAGGGUGAUCGGCCACACUGGAACUGAGACACGGUCCAGACUCCUACGGGAGGCAGCAGUAGGGAAUCUUACGCAAUGGGCGAAAGCCUGACGGAGCAACGCCGCGUGAGUGAUGAAGGUCUUCGGAGCGUAAAACUCUGUUAUUAGGGAAGAACAUAUGUGUAAGUAACUGUGCACAUCUUGACGGUACCUAAUCAGAAAGCCACGGCUAACUACGUG